GACGAACGCUGGCGGCGUGCUUAACACAUGCAAGUCGAACGAAGUGGCGAACGGGUGAGUAACGCGUAAUCAACCUGCCCUUCAGAGGGGGACAACAGUUGGAAACGACUGCUAAUACCGCAUACUGAAGGAGGGGAUUGCGUUUGAUUAGCUAGUUGGAGGGGUAACGGCCCACCAAGGCGAUGAUCAGUCGCCGGUCUGACAGGAAGGACGGCCAACAUGGGACUGGGAAACGGCCCAGGAUCCUACGGGUGGCAGCAGGGGGGAAUCUUCCGAAAUGGACGAAAGUCUGACGGAGCAACGCCGCGGGAGUGAUGACGGCCUUCGGGUUGUAAAGCUCUGUUAAUCGGGACGCGGUACCGGAAUAGAAAGCCACGGCUAACUACGUGCCAGCAGCCGCGGUAAUAC
rnacentral:rRNA from 1 species